rnacentral:rRNA from 1 species
UAAGGAAUAUUGGUCAAUGGACGAAAGUCUGAACCAGCCAUGCCGCGUGAAGGAUGAAGGUCCUCUGGAUUGUAAACUUCUUUUAUCUGGGACGAAAAAAAGGGGAAUUCUUUCUCACUUGACGGGUACCAGAAGAAUAAGCACCGGCUAACUCCGUGCCAGCAGCCGCGGUAAUACGGAGGGUGCAAGCGUUAUCCGGAUUCACUGGGUUUAAAGGGUGCGUAGGUGGGCAGUUAAGUCAGUGGUGAAAUCUCCGGGGCUUAACCCGGAAACUGCCAUUGAUACUAUCUGUCUUGAAAUCUCUGGAGGUAAGCGGAAUAUGUCAUGUAGCGGUGAAAUGCUUAGAUAUGACAUAAGACACCGAUUGCGAAGCAGCUACUACGGAGUCAUUGACACUGAGGC